CCUACGGGGGGCAGCAGUGAGGAAUAUUUGUCAAUGGGCGCGAGCCUGAACCAGCCAAGUAGCGUGAAGGAUGACUGCCCUACGGGUUGUAAACUUCUUUUAUAAAGGAAUAAAGUGAGGCACGUGUGCCUUUUUGUAUGUACUUUAUGAAUAAGGAUCGGCGAACUCCGUGCCAGCAGCCGCGGUAAUACUGAGGAUCCGAGCGUUAUCCGGAUUUAUUGGGCUUAAAGGGAGCGUAGAGGGGUUGUUAAGUCAGUUGUGAAAGUUUGAGGCUCAACCGUAAAAUGGCAAUUGAUACUGGCAGGCUUGAGUACAGUUGAGGUAGGCGGAAUUCGUGGUGUAGCGGUGAAAUGCUUAGAUAUCACGAAGAACUCUGAUUGCGAAGGCAGCUUCCUAAACUGCCACUGACAUUGAUGCUCGAAAGUGAGGGGAUCAAACAGGAUUAGAUACCCCUGUAGUC
rnacentral:rRNA from 1 species